rnacentral:rRNA from 1 species
ACCAAGGCACGAAAGCGUGGGGAGCAAACGGGAUUAGAUACCCCGGUAGUCCACGCCGUAAACUAUGGAUGCUAGCUGUGACACACAUCGACCUGUGUCGUAGCGAAGUUAACGCGUUAAGCAUCCCGCCUGGGGAGUACGGUCGCAAGAUUAAAACUCAAAGGAAUUGACGGGGACCCGCACAAGCGGUGGAGCGUGUUGUUUAAUUCGAUGGUAAGCGAAGAACCUUACCAAGGCUUGAAAUCCCGAUAGCAGUUCAUCGAAAGAAGAACCUCAUUUAGUUGGAUCGGUGACAGGUGAUGCAUGGCCGUCGUCAGCUCGUGUCGUGAGAUGUAUGGUUAAGUCCAUUAACGAGCGCAACCCUUAUGUUUAGUUGGAUUUUUCUAAACAGACUGCCCUGGCAACAGGGAGGAGGGAGGGGAUGACGUCAGGUCAGUAUUUCCCUUACGUCUUGGGCUACAAACACGCUACAAUGGCCGGUACAAAGGGCAGCGAACCCGCGAGGGGAAGCAAAUCUCAUCAAAACCGGUCUCAGUUCGGAUUGCAGGCUGAAACUCGCCUGCAUGAAGCUGGAAUCGCUAGUAACGGUAGGUCAGCACACUACCGUGAAUACGUUCCCGGGUCUUGUACACACCGCCCGUCAAACCAUGAAAGUGGCCAAC